rnacentral:rRNA from 1 species
UACGUAGGGGGCAAGCGUUGUCCGGAAUCAUUGGGCGUAAAGCGCGUGUAGGCGGCUUGAUAAGUCUGCUCUGAAAGUCCAGGGCUCAACCCUGGGAUGCGGGUGGAUACUGCCGGGCUCGAGUCCGGAAGAGGCGAGUGGAAUUCCCGGUGUAGCGGUGAAAUGCGCAGAUAUCGGGAGGAACACCAAUGGCGAAGGCAGCUCGCUGGGACGUGACUGACGCUGAGACGCGAAAGCGUGGGGAGCAAACAGG